GAACCUGUGCCCCCUGCUUUGGGAAUGUGGAGUCUUAACCACUGGACCACCAGGGAAGUCCUUUCUUUUCAUCUUCGGGUCUUUCCCUCUUUCUCCCCUGAUAUGUGUCUUUAUCAUCAAAUGGAACAGAGAAACACGUGAUUUGUAUGAUUUAGGUCAGCAGUCCCCAAAGUUAGAGACUGGAAGAUGGGAGGUGGGUGGAGCGAGGUGGUGGAUUCAGUGGGUGAGGAGGGAAGUGGACAGCCCUAAGCAGAGAUUCCCUUCCCUGGGCCAGACCUUCCCCUCCGCCGCCCUCCUUCCCAGCCGCUGUAGGUCACGUCCAGCCCACCCCCCGCCACCUUCGCCCUUGGUGUCCUUUACCUCCUCCUUCUCUGGGAGAUUGCCACUAACGUUUGGAAUGGGUCACGCCCAACACUAAAUUUUGACAGCAAGUUAAAAGCCAAAAUGCAUUCUCUUUUGCUUUUUGUACUGCCUAAAAAAGGACAUCCUGCGUAGAUUAGCAAGUGACAUGCACGGACAGUGCUGAAUGGAACCUUUAGGUUAUUGAUUCUAAAUAACCGUAACUCCUGUCUGAAAUGUUUCCUUUGUGUCUAGGGAGCCCUGAGUGAACGCUUCCUGGGACUGGCCGUUCACUCCCAGCCCUUCAGGCAGCCCGUUUACCUUGGGCACCCCUGUUGGAAAUGCCUUCUGUAAACGUGACUGAAACCAGGCUCCCUGGCACUUCCCACCCACUGGUCUAAUUUUACCCCCUGGGGAUCACCCUGAAGGAAUCUAAUUCUUCUUCCAUGGGCUAGAAUUUCAAAGAUUUGAGGGACCAUCUCCUGUCCCCAGUGAAUCUUCUAUUCUCCAAGUUCUUCAUAUAAACUAACCUCCCCAGGCUGGUAACUCUCCUCUUAACAGAAGCUAGAGUUUGUAUGAUGAUCUUUCUAAAGUGUGACUCCUGGACCCAGACAUGGCCCCAGAUGUGGCCCAACCAGCACAGAGGAGAACGGAUGACCGCCUUCCUCAUCUUCAAAUUAGACGACACAUGACACUCUCAACUCACAUGGAAUUUUUAGUUAUGCUUCUAAGUCGUCAUCUGUCCCAUAUAACAAUCUUAUAUAAACCACAUUCAUGGAGGUUUUUUUUUCUUUUGACCCAAGUGGGUUUUAGUUUUUUGAAGCAAAUAAAGAACCUUAAAUAUAUUCCUUUUGAAAUUUUAUUGUGUUUGACUUGCCCGACUGCCAGGGGUUUUGAGGGGACUGCUGGAUCCUAAUUUCAUCAUCCAGUCAUCUGGUUGCCCCUGUGCCGCCCACAGCUGUAACCACCAUGCCAUCAGUCUUCUCAUCCACGUUGUGUGAAGGAAGCAGCCACAGAAUGAGGCAGAACCCUGAGACCUCCCCACCUGUAACCUGUACUUUUGCUCUUCUGGCAGCACUCCUGGGAGGCUGUUGUUCACUGAGCUUAUACUCUACUCAGUGAUGCUCUCUUACAGCGCGUGUCCCUCUUUCUUGACUACAAGGAUGUGUAGAUGAGCGUGUAGCCAGAAUGUCACCUCCACGUGGAAUUCAUCACUGUGUCCCAGCUCGGAAGACAGUGCCUGGAUGUCUUAGGCGGUUUAUUGAAGUUUAAUUGAUACACAAAAAACCCCCCAACAAAAUCCUGGAUGUAUUUAAUGUAUACAGUUUGAUGAGUGGACAUAUGCACACACCUGUGAAACCAUCACCACAGUCAAGCCUAUCUGCUGAUGCAGCAUCACUUUUGUUUCCAGUAAAUGAAAGGAAAACAUUUCCACCCACUUAGUAGUUAGGCAAAGGGAAGAAAAGAAGCUUGAGUGCUCAGCAGUUCUCUGAGGAAAAAAACAUCAAAUAAAAAAGGCUGGCCUGGAAGAGUGUGAUGUCACCAUGUUGAUUGGAGCUGGAAGAGGAUGUCUUCAAAGCCCCACGGUGUUGUGAGGCAAUGGUUGGGGAAGUCUUAAGAGGAGAUGGGUGCAGCCGCCUUAGGACCGCCUGCCAUGUGGCGUGGAGACUGCAGAAGAUUUGGGGCGAACCCCCCCACCCCGCCUGCCAGGGUAAAGGACACCUGCUAACACCCCAGCUGUCCCUGGGUGCUGGGGACCAGAGGCAGCACUGUGGGUGGAACACAGAUGCGCAAGAACCAAUCCACAGACCUGCACACUUGGCUCAGGUCCACGGGUCAGCAGUGGCUUUUCAGGAGCUCAGAACCCUGAAAUUGUCCUGUGUCUGACAUGAGUGAGAAUCUCCAAAAUCAGCAUGUCAGCACCAUUCUGGCAGCCUGGUGUCACACAGACCUUUGAAACCAAUAUGACACUGCCAUCGGUUGGAGUCAUCCACUGGCCAGGCUGCCCUUCCAAAACCAGAGCCCAGCCAGGGCUCAAGACAGCCCCACAGGCAUGCGUCUGAUUGCUCCUUGGGGCAUCUGGUUGACCCAUUUCCGGACCACGGGGUCUGGAAAUUAGACAUGUUUGCCCUUUGCGGGUGCAAGAAGCCUGUGCUUCACUCCCCAUAUCUUUUCUCCACCAGCAGUUAAAAUAUGGGGGGCGAAUACCAGCAGCAUUAGGUCCUUCCUGAGAUCCCCUCACACCUUUGGACUCCACUUUGCUGACUGGCCUGGCCACUGCUGCUCAUCUGGUCUCACCAUCAACACUCAGAGCUGCUCUGUACAGUUGUGCAGGUUGUGCAUUGCACAGUGGUGCCCGUAUCCAGGGGGCACCACUGACAUCACAGAGGGUGCAGCUUUGUAUAUUUUACUACAGUAGAUGGCAGUAAACUGUCUUGUUCUA